CAUAAACUUUAGGAAGGGCAGCUUCCCAAGUGCCUAGAUUGGGAUUGAAGCGGACAAUUAUGCACAAAGGCUGCUUAGUAUUCAAGUUAUUGCUUUGUCUAUAGCUCACCACCUAAAGGCAGCUGUACCAAAAUUUGUUCUUUCAAUUUUCAAAUAUUGGUAAAGAGACCUUCCCUUUGCCACCUCUUGAUUUUCUCCAUAUGAUGUUUGAGAUAGAGAUGCAAGAAAAGUACAUAAAAGAAAAUGUUAACUAUUUUUCCACACCUACUUGGUUAAUAGGAUUGCAGCCAUCUAUUACACACUCAGUCUCCUUUUCCUCCUCAAAAUGCGGAAGAUAUUGCUGUGGAAUUUAAAAGUAAAUUGGUAUACUACACUAUCUGUCAAAGUCUAAUGAGUUUUGCAAUCUUAGCUUCAUGCAUCUGCCUUGCCACC
rnacentral:lncRNA from 1 species